UACGUAGGGUGCGAGCGUUGUCCGGAAUUACUGGGCGUAAAGAGUUCGUAGGUGGUUUGUCGCGUUGUUCGUGAAAUCUCACGGCUUAACUGUGAGCGUGCGGGCGAUACGGGCAGACUAGAGUACUGCAGGGGAGACUGGAAUUCCUGGUGUAGCGGUGGAAUGCGCAGAUAUCAGGAGGAACACCGGUGGCGAAGGCGGGUCUCUGGGCAGUAACUGACGCUGAGGAGCGAAAGCGUGGGGAGCGAACAGG
rnacentral:rRNA from 1 species